rnacentral:rRNA from 2 species
CCGACAAGCAGCGGAGCAUGUGGUUUAAUUCGAAGCAACGCGAAGAACCUUACCAGGGCUUUGACAUGCCGCUGACCGGUUUAGAGAUAGAUCUUUACCCUUCGGGGUACAGCGGACACAGGUGGUGCAUGGUUGUCGUCAGCUCGUGCCGUGAGAUGUUGGGUUAAGUCCCGCAACGAGCGCAACCCUUGUCUUUAGUUGCCAUCAUUAAGUUGGGCACUCUAAAGAGACUGCCGAUGACAAAUCGGAGGAAGGUGGGGAUGACGUCAAAUCAUCAUGCCCUUUAUGUCCUGGGCUACACACGUGCUACAAUGGUCGGUACAACGAGAAGCAAGCCAGCGAUGGCAAGCAAAUCUCUAAAAGCCGAUCCCAGUUCGGAUUGCAGGCUGCAACUCGCCUGCAUGAAGUCGGAGUUGCUAGUAAACGCAGGUCAGCUAUACUGCGUUGAAUACGUUCCCGGGGAUU